AUUGCGACCAAAAUGUUUUUGAUCAAUAAAUAAAGAUAGUUUGAGCACAAGAGCCUCGAUCUUCGUAGUCAGUUUGGUCUUUACCAGUUUUUGAUUUAAAUCGAUUUGAUCAAAUUUAUAAGCUUGAGUCUUGAAAGAUUUAAGAAGGUCGGUCCUUUAGUAUAGGUCAGUGGCUACGGUCACGAUGACAUUGUCGAAUCUAAGCGUAAUUUUACAGAAUUGUCAAGCUCCAUUGCUAAGGUCGUUUCUCAGCAAUGAUGGAGCUGGUCGACUUUAUAUCCCCUGUCAGAGCAACCAAGAGUAGUCUUGGUGUUUGGAUUAUAUAACCAAUGUCGGAGGAACAAAUGGUUUCAUAUCCCCCGUCAGAGCAUCAUAUGGUUUUCAUAGCUGGUGGACUAUAUAUACCCUGUCAGUGCAAUCGUUGGUUGUAUUAAUUAAUGGAUCAGUUGCUUCAAAAUAUUUUGUGUUUGCCGAAACUUCAUAGAGGGAAAUGUUGGAAGCGGAACAAAAUGGCGGUUUUCGAAAGGAUUUUGGUGUUUUGGGAUGAUAUUUUGACCUGAUAACUAGGUAGAUUAUUCCACCAUGUGAGACCAAUGACGACGAUUGAUCGGUCAGCUAUUUGGUUCGACGCAUUGGAAUGAUGCGAUUGUCAAAAUUCAGCGUAUUGGUCAUUCAAACACCUAGAUCUCUUACACUUGUUAUGUUUAUUUUUUGUAUUUGACGUUUGGUUCCAUACAUAAUUAUUCGGUUUUAGCCUAAUUCAUGUUCAGUUUGUAAGAUGUCAUCGAUGUGCUGAAUUGUGAGACAAUUGGUAAGCUGUUGAAAAACAAUUGCCUCCUUUUGAGAAUUUUCCGCUUGAAUAUUUAGUGCAAUGUUAUUGUCGUCAGCGUAUUGAUACAGAUCGACUGGAUAUUACUGAACCUCUCUAUUAAGAGCUGAUAUAUACAGGGUAAAGACCACCGGUCCAGUACAAGAACCCUGUCGUACUUCGAACCUCAGUGGUUCAGUUUCAGUUUCUGAUUGUUCAACCAUGAGUUUCAUUGUUCUCUUCGCGAGAUAAGAUUCCAUCCAUUUCGAGGGAGUGCCUUGAAUACCAAAGUCGUUUUGAAAAACUCGAAUCAGUGUCGGAAUGUCGAUGUUAUCGCAUGCAGCACUCAAGUCAAUCAUGACCACAAUUGUAACUUUUAUCAAUGUUUCCAUAAUUCACAAUACAUUUUGACCAUUGCUGUUUUAACACCAUGAUAUAUUCUAUAUGCACUUUGAUAAGAUGAAAAUAGUUUGCUUCUAUAUGUACA